rnacentral:lncRNA from 1 species
AGGGAGUGGCCAAAGUCUUAUUUCUAUUGUUAUAUAAUAUUUUGAGACUAAAGUCAAGUUGACUCAAAGCACGACAGUUAAAUUCUUAACUAUGGUAUAAAACAGUUGGAUCUUUUUCAUGUUUGUUUUGAUUUCUUGCAUUAAGUUUCAAAAAGUUUUAACUUUGAAUUUCUUUUCUUCUUUUUUAUUUUAUUUUCUCCAGUUUAAAUUUUCUUGUUCUUUCUUGAGGACAAUAAAAGUUGAAGCUUGGGGAGAUUUGUUAGGUGUAUUUCAUGCAUCCAUUUUAUAGUUUUAAUCCAUAAAAGUGCAUUGCAUUUAGGUUUAAACUCAUGCAUUUUGCAUAUUGUUCGGGAUUUUUCAUGAAACAAUUUCAUUCACACAUUUUUGUGACAUUUCAGGGACUUUUGGAGGUAGUAUGUUGUUGAAGGAGGUAAAUAAGAGUUGCUGCCAAAGUUUCAGAACUAUUGGAGCAUUGGGAGGGAGAUUUCAAGAAAAUAAAGAUUUUGACUUUAUAGAGGUUUACACGGCCGUGUAAAUGAAAGCCUUGAGUUUACACGGGCCGUGUAAACGCAUACUCAUGAGCAGUGUACUUCGAAGGCCUGCCCGAUUUGAGCAAUUUACUUCUUGUGUUUACACGACCGUGUAAAUGGUCGGUGUUAGUUUUCACGGGCCGUGUAAACGUGUCGACAGUUUUAAAACAGUUUCAUUCCUUUGUAAAAAGAGGCAUCCGGUUCCUUAAGAAGUUAAGUCGAAUUUGGGAGUAGAAAAGAGCGAUUUUAGGAGAAUUUCGAAGUGGAUUAACAUUUAGAAACACUUUAAUUUGCAUUUUGUAACUCAAAUUGAAGAUCAAAAUUGUUGAAUUUGUAGUUUAGCUUAGACAUGUGUGGCUGAUUUCUUUAUCAUUUCUGAUUCUGAAUUCUUAAGUAUUUAUUGUUAG